AGGGCACCACCAGGAGUGGAGCCUGCGGCUUAAUUUGACUCAACACGGGAAAACUCACCCGGCCCGGACACUGGAAGGGUUGACAGAUUGAGAGCUCUUUCUUGAUUCAGUGGGUGGUGGCGCAUGGCCGUUCUUAAUUGGUGGAGUGAUUUGUCUGGUUAAUUCCGAUAACGAACGGGACUCUAGCCUACUAAAUAGAUCGUCGGCUUACAAACGCCGGCGAGACUUCUUAGAGGGACAGGCGGUGAUUCAACCGCACGAAACAGUGCAAUAACAGGUCUGUGAUGCCCUUAGAUGUCCGGGGCCGCACGCGCGCUACACUGAAGCGAUCAGCGUGCUUUUUCAACCUACUCUGUCAAGAGUGGGGAACCCAAUGAACCUUCUUCGUGAUUGGGAUAGGGGAUUGUAAUUAUUCCCCUUGAACGAGGAAUUCCCAGUAAGCGCGAGUCAUAAGCUCGCGUUGAUUACGUCCCUGCCCUUUGUACACACCGCCCGUCGCUACUACCGAUUGAAUGUUUU
rnacentral:rRNA from 1 species